rnacentral:rRNA from 1 species
AGAUCAGAUCCUAGCUUUAUUUGAUUUUACAUGGUUCCGCUCCAUCCACUACUAAUCAGACUUAGAACCAAGAACUCCCAUCCACCCACGGUAAGUCCUUACAACUUUGGCCAGCUCUUUCUAGCAUCAUCAAACCCAUUCUCAUGCGUUCAAAAGUCCGACCAGUCAGUCCUCAGAUCAUCCUAUCAUCGAUCUUGAACACGGUCGCUACAUUCUGCUCGUUGCUCGAUGAUUCAUGAUAACUUUCGGCGGAUCGCAUGGCGUAGUGCUGGCAACACAUCAUUCAAAUUUCUGCCCUAUCAACUUUUCGAUGGUAGGAUGGUGGCCUACCAUGGUGGUAACGGGUGAUGGAGAAUUAGGGUUCGAUUCGGAGAGGGAUCCUGAGAAACGGCUACCACAUCCAAGGAAGGCAGCGAGCGAGCACAAAUUACCGAUCCGACCGCGGGGAGGUAGUGACAAUAAAUAACAAUACGGGGCUCUUUGAGUCUUGUAAUUGGAAUGAGUAGAAUCUAAAUCCCUUAACGAGGAUCUAUUGGAGGGCAAGUCUGGUGCCACCCAGCGGUAACUCCAGCUCCAAUAGCGUAUAUUUAAGUUUUUUGCAGUUAAAAAGCUUGUAGUUGAACCUUGGGAUGGUCGCCGGUCCGCCCCGGUGAGCACCGGUCGACUUGUCUCUUCUGUCGGCGAUAUGCUCGUGGGCCUUAACUGGCGAAUGGUCGUGCCUCGGUUGUUGCUUUGAAGAAAUUAGAGUGCUCAAAAGCAAGCCUACGCUCUGUAUACAUUAGCAUGGGAUAACAUCAUAGGAUUUCGAUCCUAUUGUGUUGUACCCGGGAUCGGAGUAAUGAUUAACAAGGACAGUCGGGGGCAUUUGUAUUUCAUAGUCAGAGGUGAAAUUAUUGGAUUUAUGAAAGACAAACAACUGCGAAAGCAUUUGCCAAGGAUGUUUUCAUUAAUCAAGAAAGAAAGUUGGGGGCUCGAAGACGAUCAAAUACCGUCCUAGUCUCAACCAUAAACGAUGCCGACCAGGGAUCAGCGGAUGUUGCUUUUAGGACUCCGCUGGAACCUUAUGAGAAAUCAAAGUUUUUUUGGGUUCGAGGGGAGUAUGGUCAUAAGGCUGAAACUUUAAGGAAUUGACGGAAGGGCACCACAGGAGUGGAGCCUGCGGCUUAAUUCGACUCAACACGGGAAACUUACCAGGUCCAGAUAUAGAAAGGAUUGACAGACUGAGAGCUCUUUCUUGAUUCUAUGGGUGGUGGUGCAUGGCCGUUCUUAGUUGGUGGGCGAUUUGUCUGGUUAAUUUCGUUAACAGAGCGAGACCUCAGCCUGGCUAACUAGCCACGUGGAGGCAUCCCUUCACGUCCGGCAUCUUAGAGGGACUAUGCCCGUUUAGGCCAAAGGAAGUUUGAGGCAAUAACAGGGUCUGUGAUGCCAUUAGAUGUUCUGGGCGCGCGCGCUACACAGAUGUAUUCAACGAAGUUCACACCUUGGCCGACAGGGCGGGUAAUCUUUGAAAUUUCAUCGUGAUUGGGAUAGAUCAUUGCAAUUGUUGGUCUUCAACUAGGAAUUCCUAGUAAGUCGAGUCAUCAGCUCGCGUUGACUCGAUCCCUGCCCGUUUUACAAACCACCCGUCGCUCUACCGAUUUGGUGAUUUGGUGAGGUGUUGGAUCAGCGGUGGCGUGGGUGGUUUGCCCAUGCCGUCGUGGCGAAGUCCAUAACCUUAUCAUUUAUAGGAAGGAGAAGUCGUAACAAGGUUUCCUUAGGUGAACUUGCAGAAG